rnacentral:lncRNA from 1 species
CCGGCUCUUAAAAAGGAAUUGUCCUACGACCUACAAGUCGGACACGUUCUCCAAUCUUAUGCCUUCACCUCUGCAACUCCUCAAGGCCAACCAAAGCUAUCUGGCCACUCCGUCCAUCAGGGACCUGAAAUUUUAAUCCCACAACCGGGAUGAGACGAUGUCUCAGCAAGUUCAACCCCCUAAACCCCUAUUAGAAAGAAAAUACGCCCAAGGGUGGCCUAGCCACAUCACACAGAGAGCUUACCUCGCCUCAAUUCUUCCCUGCAGGUUAGCACAAUUCAAAUCGCUCAAUCACAGAUAGUAAUAGGAACUUAAACAACCGGAACGCAUUCUCUUUCAUAUAACCAACAACCACAGGGGGUCCUGAUUAUAAGACUAAAUCGUUAUGACACGUCCCAUUCCAUGCCACACAAUUCCGUCCCAUAAUCUGACACAUCAAUAACACUCAACAUGCAUUCCAAUUGAUAUUCACUGCCACACAAGGGCAUAGCCUACUCGCAGUUCGGCUAUCUACUGACACUAAUGCCAGGCAUCGCCUCCCCCCCAUGGAGCGUGGCUUCGUCAUUACAUCGACGGCAUUCCCGAAGGAGCAUGGGUCCAGUCGGCCUAGCCACUACUACGACCCAAGCCACGUCACUCUCCUGACAGCAUUUCUAUAAGAACAAAGGUCCAGUCGGCCUAGCCACUACUGCGACCCGAGCCACGUCACUCUCCUGACGGCAUUUCUACAAGAACUAAGGUCCAGUCGGCCUAGCCACUACUGCGACCCGAUGCCACGUCACUCUCCCGACGGCAUUUCUACAAGAACAAAGGUCCAGUCGGCCUAGCCACUACUGUGACCCGAGCCACGUCACUCUCCUGACGGCAUUUCUACAGAAUAAGGAUCUAGUCGGCCUAGCCACUACUGCGACCCGAGUCUUUCAACCAGCACACAACAAUUCAAUAAUCAAUUGCACAAAUCGUCACUCAAUUUGUAAUAUCUAAUCAUCAAAUUCAUAAUCUGAAUACACAGCAGCGAUCAGCACAAAAUUCUGAGAAUUUAGGGUCCCAAAAUAAUUUUCGGAAUUUAUUUAAUAAUUAAAUUUAUUCCGAAAAUAAUUAAAUAAUAAUAUCCAUAUAUUUCACGAUCCACGCUCAAUUUAUAAUAUCCAUCCAUCAAUUUCGAAGUCCGAAUGCACAGCAGCGAUCGGCACGAAAUUCUGAGCAAUCGGGGUCAAAAAUAAUUUUUCCAUUUUUUUUUAAAAUAAUAAUAUUUUAAUAAUUUCGGAAUAUAAUAUAAUAUUAUAAAUUCCAGAAUUCGAAAUCAUUAAAUAAUUCAAAAAUAAAACCCUAUUAUGUCACAUCAAGGCUUUAUAUUAAAAAUAAACAUAUUUAACUUUAAACUAAACACACUUUAACUUAAUUAAACAUCAUAAUAUAAUCCUCAACCAAAUAAACUAAUCUAACCACAUAAACUUACUUAACUUAGACUAAGCACACUUAGGGCAUCAUUAACCGUCUAAUCAAGAUUUAGUGAGUUAAACUCACCGGAUUAACGAGCCGAGCGGACCAAAACGACGAGGGCGACGCGAGGAUCGACUUUCCUCAAAGCGGGCCGAGCAUCCGGGCUUGGGAAGGCAGCCAAAACGGCCCACGAAGGGGCUGCCAUACCCAUUUUCUUCUUCUCUGCUUGCUGCUGGUUGGGGGCGAAGGAGGGC